rnacentral:rRNA from 1 species
GAUGAACGCUGGCGGCGUGCCUAAUACAUGCCAGUCGAGCGAACAGACGAGGAGCUUGCUCCUCUGACGUUAGCGGCGGACGGGUGAGUAACACGUGGAUAACCUACCUAUAAGACUGGGAUAACUUCGGGAAACCGGAGCUAAUACCGGAUAAUAUAUUGAACCGCAUGGUUCAAUAGUGAAAGACGGUUUUGCUGUCACUUAUAGAUGGAUCCGCGCCGCAUUAGCUAGUUGGUAAGGUAACGGCUUACCAAGGCAACGAUGCGUAGCCGACCUGAGAGGGUGAUCGGCCACACUGGAACUGAGACACGGUCCAGACUCCUACGGGAGGCAGCAGUAGGGAAUCUUCCGCAAUGGGCGAAAGCUUGACGGAGCAACGCCGCGUGAGUGAUGAAGGUCUUCGGAUCGUAAAACUCUGUUAUUAGGGAAGAACAAAUGUGUAAGUGACUAUGCACGUCUUGACGGUACCUAAUCAGAAAGCCACGGCUAACUACGUG